rnacentral:rRNA from 3 species
AGACCCGAAACCCGGUGAUCUAGCCAUGGGCAGGUUGAAGGUUGGGUAACACUAACUGGAGGACCGAACCGACUAAUGUUGAAAAAUUAGCGGAUGACCUGUGGCUGGGGGUGAAAGGCCAAUCAAACCGGGAGAUAGCUGGUUCUCCCCGAAAGCUAUUUAGGUAGCGCCUCGUGAAUUCAUCUCCGGGGGUAGAGCACUGUUUCGGCUAGGGGGCCAUCCCGGCUUACCAACCCGAUGCAAACUGCGAAUACCGGAGAAUGUUAUCACGGGAGACACACGGCGGGUGCUAACGUCCGUCGUGAAGAGGGAAACAACCCAGACCGCCAGCUAAGGUCCCAAAGUCAUGGUUAAGUGGGAAACGAUGUGGGAAGGCCCAGACAGCCAGGAUGUUGGCUUAGAAGCAGCCAUCAUUUAAAGAAAGCGUAAUAGCUCACUGGUCGAGUCGGCCUGCGCGGAAGAUGUAACGGGGCUAAACCAUGCACCGAAGCUGCGGCAGCGACACUCAGGUGUUGUUGGGUAGGGGAGCGUUCUGUAAGCCUGUGAAGGUGUGUCGUGAGGCAUGCUGGAGGUAUCAGAAGUGCGAAUGCUGACAUAAGUAACGAUAAAGCGGGUGAAAAGCCCGCUCGCCGGAAGACCAAGGGUUCCUGUCCAACGUUAAUCGGGGCAGGGUGAGUCGACCCCUAAGGCGAGGCCGAAAGGCGUAGUCGAUGGGAAACGGGUUAAUAUUCCCGUACUUGGUGUUACUGCGAAGGGGGGACGGAGAAGGCUAUGUUGGCCGGGCGACGGUUGUCCCGGUUUAAGCGUGUAGGUGUGUGUUCCAGGUAAAUCCGGUUCACUUUAACACUGAGGCGUGAUGACGAGGCACUACGGUGCUGAAGCAACAAAUGCCCUGCUUCCAGGAAAAGCCUCUAAGCAUCAGGUAACAUCAAAUCGUACCCCAAACCGACACAGGUGGUCAGGUAGAGAAUACCAAGGCGCUUGAGAGAACUCGGGUGAAGGAACUAGGCAAAAUGGUGCCGUAACUUCGGGAGAAGGCACGCUGACACGUAGGUGAAGUGAUUUACUCAUGGAGCUGAAGUCAGUCGAAGAUACCAGCUGGCUGCAACUGUUUAUUAAAAACACAGCACUGUGCAAACACGAAAGUGGACGUAUACGGUGUGACGCCUGCCCGGUGCCGGAAGGUUAAUUGAUGGGGUCAGCGCAAGCGAAGCUCCUGAUCGAAGCCCCGGUAAACGGCGGCCGUAACUAUAACGGUCCUAAGGUAGCGAAAUUCCUUGUCGGGUAAGUUCCGACCUGCACGAAUGGCGUAAUGAUGGCCAGGCUGUCUCCACCCGAGACUCAGUGAAAUUGAACUCGCUGUGAAGAUGCAGUGUACCCGCGGCAAGACGGAAAGACCCCGUGAACCUUUACUAUAGCUUGACACUGAACAUUGAGCCUUGAUGUGUAG